UACAGAGGGUGCGAGCGUUAAUCGGAAUUACUGGGCGUAAAGCGCACGUAGGCGGCUUGGUAUGUCGGGUGUGAAAUCCCCGGGCUCAACCUGGGAACUGCAUCCGAAACUGCCUUGCUAGAGUAUGGGAGAGGAAGGCGGAAUGCUUGGUGUAGAGGUGAAAUUCGUAGAUAUCAAGCGGAACACCGGUGGCGAAGGCGGCCUUCUGGACGAUGACUGACGCUGAAGCGCGAAAGCGUGGGGAGCAAACAGG
rnacentral:rRNA from 1 species